CUGAACCUCUGAACUUGUAAGGCAGCUCCAAUGAAAUUUUGUCCUUUAUAAAACUCGCAUUGGUCAUGGUGUCUUUCCAUGGCAGUAAAACCCCUAACUAAGACCGAUGGGUUUCAUUAACACUUCCAAGCCUGGGCAUUUUGACCCAAGCAGAUGCAGAUUCUGUCCAGGCGUCCUACUGUGUGCCUCUGUGCCCAGCAGAAAAGGAAGAGAAAUGGGUUCUUCCACUUGAGGUGACAAAUUUCUGUUUUUGUUUCUGUUUUUCUUUUUAAUGUUUAUUAUUUUCCAGCCCCAACAUGAGCCCUGGGAAUAUAAGAUGAAUGUCAUGUCGUCCCUUCCUGAAGAGGCUGAAGGGAGCAAGGUGAACCCAAUGUGCACAGAACAAAUGCACUUUGCCCAGGUCUUCAGGCUGUCACUGCACUCUGGCGUGCACUUUCUGUUUUGAUGAGUCACUGCAGGUUUCCUUUUCCCCCUAUAUUUCUUUGAGGAGGCAGGUGCAAUUUAAUAUUUGUCCAUUUAAAAUGUUUCAUUGUUUAUAACAAAUAAAAAUCACACACAUUUACAAUGUCUCACCAAAUGUAUCGUUUUUUGUAAUAAGAACCCUUUAACAAUGUAGCCAUCUUGAAGGAGGCAAACUGCUGAGUGGGUAGAAGGCUCCGCUGUUAGGAACACGGGCUGCUCUUCCAGAGGGCAUCUCAGGAGCAUCUGGGAUUUCAGCCUAAGAGAUCUGACACCCUCUCCUGGCUCCCUCAGGCACCAGGCAUUCAUGCGGUGUACGGACGUACAGCAUAACUACAGACAUUUCUGCAGUGGAACGAAAGCAAACUCAGCCUCUUAGCUGCCUUUCUCUAGUAUCUCAUUGCAGCAACAUGAAGCAAACACUGAUGGACUUCAGCUCUCCAUUUCUGAGAUGAUGCCCGUGGAUGCUUACUGUAGCCUCCUGACCUUUGUGUUUCUGUGUGGAGCAGCAGCAAAUGGUUGGAACUGGAAAAUAUCAUCCUGAGUGAG
rnacentral:sRNA from 1 species